rnacentral:rRNA from 1 species
AUUGAACGCUGGCGGCAGGCUUAACACAUGCAAGUCGAGCGGGGGAAGGUAGCUUGCUACCGGACCUAGCGGCGGACGGGUGAGUAAUGCUUAGGAAUCUGCCUAUUAGUGGGGGACAACAUCUCGAAAGGGAUGCUAAUACCGCAUACGUCCUACGGGAGAAAGCAGGGGAUCUUCGGACCUUGCGCUAAUAGAUGAGCCUAAGUCGGAUUAGCUAGUUGGUGGGGUAAAGGCCUACCAAGGCGACGAUCUGUAGCGGGUCUGAGAGGAUGAUCCGCCACACGGGGACUGAGACACGGCCCAGAGUCCUACGGGAGGCAGCAGUGGGGAAUAUUGGACAAUGGGGGGAACCCUGAUCAAGCCAUGCCGCGUGUGGGAAGAAGGCCUUAUGGUUGUAAAGCACUUUAAGCGAGGAGGAGGCUACUCUAGUUAAUACCUAGGGAUAGUGGACGUUACUCGCAGAAUAAGCACCGGCUAACUCUGUGCCAGCCGCCGCCGUAA